UCUAGGCGAGCCCACUGUACGUGUGUCGCGACCGUCUGCCGUUCGGCCACCGCGUGUGGUGCGAUUUAUGUUGUGUUAUUAUAUUCUUCGCUGUGUGUCGAUUAUUAUUUUGCGUUAGUGCAGUGAUUCGUGAUCGCGCCGUCCGGCGUGCUAUUAUUACUGUUUAUACGUAUGGUACUGUGGUGCUAUCCCUCGUGUGACGCCAAGCUCGGUGCCGUGAACACGUAACGUGCGUAUUACGCAAUCCGGUCACUCGCCGUCGUCCGGUGCCGUCGCCAACAGCCGCCGCGCCCCGUUCACCUGCUUGGCAUCGCCAUCGUCGCCGCAGCUGGCUCAGCCGUCGCCGCCGACGAUACACCGCCCCACCGUGGCGCUUGUGCCGACCGUCGUUGCCAGAUAAAUUGAGACGGCAGUGAUGAUAUUUGACAGAAGUAAUAGGAACGAAAAUUCACACAUCUGCAACUGAAGUGAGAACUCGAAAAGACGCAAUACGGAUAUUGAUAAUACUAUCGUACUAUAGCCCAAUGAACCAAGAUUAUGGUAUAAUCACGGAUGUGAUAUUUUCCUAGCUCUGUGCUCAGCAGCAACAGGCUGUCUCUCUUGUUUUUCUUCGUUGAACUCCUAGGCUCACAUAAGAAGCGUAGCUUCAAUAAUAUAUUCAUAUAUUUAUAAUACCUGUAUGGCUAUAUUUUAUAUUUUAUGUUUACCUACGUAAUUAAUAUGCCACGUAAUAAAUGUUUUUAUGUUGUAUUGAAAUAUCUAAUACUAUAAAAUAAUAUUAUAAUACUGUAUGUGGCGACUGGAGGCUGCACUGCGGGGUGGUGCUAUUUUGCGGUAGCCGUCAGCCGGUAAUGAUAUUUGAUAAGGUCAAUGAUUAUUGAGAAUUGUCUGUCGUGCCCUACGUGAAUCCGACAAAUACGACAAAAAACAAAACAGUUUGUAUUUCGUCGCAUCGGCGUGAUCAGAAUAGAAAUCGUCGGAUCUACGUAAGGACUAUGUUCUGUUCUAAGUAUAACAAUAUCCUAGGACCUAGGAAAUAAAGUUAUAACGUUGUAAUGUGUGGCGUGUGCAAUGGAUUUUGAUUUGAUAACAUAUUUUUUUCGUUAAUAUAAAUGACAUCGAAUUAAGAAACAAUUUUCAAAGGACAACACAUGAUGAUUUCGCGUUGACCGAUUAACUGUUUGUGAAGAAUUUUCGGCUAUCAAAAGAAAUUGCGCGGUAUUUGAUUAAUAUAUUAAAGUCAUACAUUGUAGUUGAUACUCAAAUGUCUUCUAUUGAUAUCCAAACAAAAGUUUUAGUAGUUUUACAUUUUUUUGUUACUGGGUCGUAUCAAUCGUCAAUUGACAAUAGUAAUGAAUUUGUCAGUCAUCUGUAUCUAGAUGUGUAAAAAAAUAGUUGCUGCUUUGAACCAACUCAAAAUUUUUAACACUUGGGUAAAAUUUCCUAGCAAUAUUCAAAAGCUUGACGGUCUCCGUAACAUACAGUAUGUUAAAUUAUUUAUUUAUUUAAUAUUAAUUAACGCCUGUUAGGGCAAUUUUACAAAGGUAAAAGUAAUUUUUGAAAUACUUAUUUUUACAAUAGUUUUUACUUAGUAGUAUACUUACAUAUUAUAAAUUAUUAUAAAUUAAAAAUGUACAUUAUACAAUUUUAUGUGCUGUUUGAAACUAAUUUUGUUAAA